rnacentral:rRNA from 1 species
ACACGAACCGCGCGAACGUUAUUCGGAAUCACUGGGCUUAAAGGGUGCGUAGGCGGUCCGGUAAGUUGGGUGUGAAAGCCCUCGGCUCAACCGAGGAAUUGCGCCCAAAACUACCGGACUUGAGGAAGACAGAGGUGAGCGGAACUUGCGGUGGAGCGGUGAAAUGCGUUGAUAUCGCAAGGAACACCAGUGGCGAAAGCGGCUCACUGGGUCUUUUCUGACGCUGAGGCACGAAAGCUAGGGGAGCGAACGGGAUUAGAUACCCCAGUAGUCC